GACGAACGCUGGCGGCGUGCUUAACACAUGCAAGUCGAACGGUGAUGCUCCAGCUUGCUGGAGUGGAUCAGUGGCGAACGGGUGAGUAACACGUGAGCAACCUGCCCCAGACUCUGGAAUAAGCGCUGGAAACGGCGUCUAAUACUGGAUACGAAACUGGCCCGCAUGGGCAUGGGUUGGAAAGUUUUUCGGCUUGGGAUGGGCUCGCGGCCUAGCAGCUUGUUGGUGAGGUAAUGGCUCACCAAGGCGACGACGGGUAGCCGGCCUGAGAGGGCGACCGGCCACACUGGGACUGAGACACGGCCCAGACUCCUACGGGAGGCAGCAGUGGGGAAUAGUGCACAAUGGGCGAAAGCCUGAUGCAGCGACGCCGCGUGAGGGAUGACGGCCUUCGGGUUGUAAACCUCUUUCAGCAGGGAAGAAGCGAAAGUGACGGUACCUGCAGAAGAAGCACCGGCUAACUACGUG
rnacentral:rRNA from 1 species